GGAGAAGUACUCAAGUUGGCCGAAGAGGCGCCCCUGCUAAGGGUGUAGGUCGUUGAAUAAACGGCGCGAGGGUUCGAAUCCCUCCUUCUCCG
rnacentral:tRNA from 1 species